rnacentral:rRNA from 1 species
UACAGAGGUCCCAAGCGUUGUUCGGAUUCACUGGGCGUAAAGGGUGCGCAGGUGGUCGGGUAAGUCUGACGUGAAAUCCCGCAGCUUAACUGCGGAAUGGCAUUGGAUACUAUUCGGCUAGAGGGUUGGAGGGGGGACUGGAAUUCUCGGUGUAGCAGUGAAAUGCGUAGAUAUCGAGAGGAACACCAGUGGCGAAGGCGAGUCCCUGGACAACUCCUGACGCUGAGGCACGAAAGCGUGGGGAGCGAACAGG